rnacentral:rRNA from 1 species
GACGAACGCUGGCGGCGUGCCUAAUACAUGCAAGUCGAACGAACCGCGACUGAGUGCUUGCACUUGGUCAAGGUGAGUGGCGAACGGGUGAGUAACACGUGGGUAACCUACCUCAUAGUGGGGGAUAACAGUCGGAAACGACUGCUAAUACCGCAUAGGACAUAGGAUCACAUGAUCCAGUGAGGAAAGGUGGCGCAAGCUAUCGCUAAGAGAUGGACCCGCGGUGCAUUAGCUAGUUGGUAGGGUAAAGGCCUACCAAGGCGAUGAUGCAUAGCCGACCUGAGAGGGUGAUCGGCCACAUUGGGACUGAGACACGGCCCAAACUCCGACGGGAGGCAGCAGUAGGGAAUCUUCCGCAAUGGACGCAAGUCUGACGGAGCAACGCCGCGUGAGUGAAGAAGGUCUUCGGAUCGUAAAGCUCUGUUGUUAGAGAAGAACAGCGCAUAGAGUAACUGCUAUGCGUGUGACGGUAUCUAACCAGAAAGCCACGGCUAACUACGUG